rnacentral:rRNA from 1 species
GCAAGUCGAACGGUCCCGAUGAAGUAGCAAUAUUUUAUCGGGGUAGUGGCGGACGGGUGAGUAACACGUAGGUAAUCUAUCCUUAAGAGGGGGACAACCCCGAGAAAUCGGAGCUAAUACCCUAUAAGACCACGAACUGAGAUGUUAGUGGUAAAAGCCCCGUAUUUAAUACGGGGCACUUAAGAAUGGGCCUGCGGCCUAUCAGGUAGUUGGUGAGGUAAUGGCUCACCAAGCCUAAGACGGGUAGCCGGGCUGAGAGGUCGGACGGCCACACUGGAACUGAGAUACGGUCCAGACUCCUACGGGAGGCAGCAGUGGGGAAUAUUGCGCAAUGGGGGAAACCCUGACGCAGCGACGCCGCGUGGAGGAUGAAGGUCUUCGGGUUGUAAACUCCUUUUCUCAGGGAAAAUGGUGAUGGUACCUGAGGAAUAAGCCACGGCUAACUCUGUGCCAGCAGCCGCGGUAAGACAGAGGUGGCAAGCGUUGUUCGGAAUUACUGGGCUUUAAGGGCGAGUAGGCGGUGAGGUAAGUAUGAUGUGGAAUCCUAUGGCUUAACCAUAGAAUUGCUCGGAAACUGUUCACUUGGGUCAGUGAGGGGAGGGCGGAAUCCUGGUGUAGCGGUGAAAUGCGUAGAUAUCAGGAGGAAGGCCUGUGGCGAAGGCGGCCCUCUGGCACUGAACUGACGCUGAGGCGCGAAAGCGUGGGUAGCAAACAGGAUUAGAUACCCUGGUAGUCCACGCCCUAAACGGUGGGCAUUAGGUGUAGGGCUCGUAAGGGUUCUGUGCCGAAGGGAAACCAUUAAAUGCCCCGCCUGGGGAGUACGGCCGCAAGGUUGAAACUCAAAGGAAUUGACGGGGGCCCGCACAAGCGGUGGAGCAUGUGGUUUAAUUCGCACGCUACGCGAAGAACCUUACCUGGGCUUGACAUGUUAGUAGUAAGAACCCGAAAGGGGGAUGAUCCCUGGGGUAACUCAGGGGGCUAACACAAGUGCUGCAUGGCUGUCGUCAGCUCGUGCCGUGGAGGUGUUGGGUUAAGUCCCGCAACGAGCGCAACCCUUAUCCUUUGUUGCCCGCCUCAGGCGGGCUCUCUGAGGAAACUGCCGGCGAUGAGCUGGAGGAAGGCGGGGAUGACGUCAAGUCAGCAUGGCCCUUAUGUCCAGGGCGACACACGUGCUACAAUGGCUACUACAGAGGGGUGCAAUACCGUGAGGUGGAGCCAAUCCCUAAAAGCAGUCUCAGUUGGGAUCGGAGUCUGCAACUCGACUCCGUGAACGCGGAAUCGCUAGUAAUCGUGGAUCAGCCAUGCCACGGUGAAUACGUUCCCGGGCCUUGUACACACCGCCCGUCACACCACGAAAGCCUGUUGUACCCGAAGCUGGUGAGCUAAC